CUGGCCCGCCUCAGUGUGACUCAGGCCGGGGGAGGUGAUAGUCUGCCUCUCUGGUGCUCCCUCCGUUACUCGGGAGGCGCGACGCUGCCCGUGGGGGUUUAUUUCCCAUAGCGUUGCUGAUGAAGGAAAACUGGCCAGUUUAAGUGAAUUGCAUCCAGUGAGACAUGUGCUUCCCUUCCACCCAACACCCCGAAGCACUGACUAAAAAACUGAGCUCCCUUUAUCUGAACCUUCACUGUGGCAACAAAGACACACUAUAGAAAAAAAGGGCAAGGAAGGAAGGAAUAAACAGUACAAAGGCACCGGAAUAAGAUGAAGAGAACGUUACGGAAACAUCUGAGUGAAAAGGCGCGAAGCAGAGGUGCGAAGCAGUGCUCGGACCCGUCAUGAACCAGUGAGUCUGACGAGUGACUGUCACGAGGCGGCGGUGGCGGUUCAGUGCAUGAGUCGUGCGCUAGUUAUGUGAGACAACAGACCGUGAGGAGCUUGUGUCGUAUUGUGUAAGGAAGGAGGAGAAGGAGGAGGAGGAGGAGGGGAACGUGCGCUCCUCCCUACCGAUUGUCACUAACUUGAGGCACUCCACCGUCAGCAGAGCAGCGCCAUGGCCCACCCCAUUCCCAUGCAAGAGGACCACCAAGGUACAGUGCCGGCCUCAGUGUGUUUGUGUGGAGCGACUGGUGAUGUAGAGACGUGGUGGUGGCGUCCUGCUGGUGGUGAGUGUUCAUGUGUUCGCGCAGCACAACAAUCCCGAGAUAACAUUUUCAAAUGUCUCAGUGUCAUCUAGAAAAUGUUUCCGACGUCCUGGUGGACGUUCAGGGUUUUCAAAAGUGUUUUCAUGAAUUUAGCGAAGGUUUUAACAAAGACUCUACUUCUUUAAUGGCAAAACACUCAUGAGAGGCUGACUGUCAUCUGAACGGCCUUUGGAAAUAGUCGUUUUUAGAGACCAAUGUGUUUCAGAAUACGGGUGGCGUGGUGGUGCGGGGCGCGGCGGGCGAGGCCGGGCCAUAGCUAACGCCAUUGCGAUAACCCUUGCCUAAGUGUUAUUGGGCUAUUAAUUCAUAUCCGAUAUUCCGCACAGCUAAAUUCCUUUCCGUGCAACACAGAGACAACACGAGCAACACAGCUUGAUUGCCGCGUCUGUGUGCCUCAGGGGGCGUGUGUGGAGAGGUAGUACUGGCAGCCGUGAUCCCGCCACCACUCCAGGGGCCUCCGUACUUAUGGGUCGGAAAAAGAAAAAAAAAAAUAGAAAGUACGAAUAUUAAAGCAAAAAAUAUAUAUUCCAUAAAUGUCGUACUGACCAUGUAGAAAAUAUUAAUUCUGUAUUCCACUUUUUACAAUUUUAAUUAAUGUUCAAAAAAUGCUCCGUGGCAGUGGAGCGGCUACAUAUUUAAAUUUGACGUAUGCAAAUGUGCCCGAUUUGCCUAUAACUUUAUUUUUCUUUUUUUUCUGUCCGUGAGAGUAUCGGCAUAAUUACAGUUUAUUUUUAUACCCUCGCCAGCAUCGACAACGGCACUCACUAAUACUUAUUUGCUUGAGGCGGGCAGUGUUGCCAGCUCGUUCUCUUGUACUGUCCCUCACGUCACAUCCUCGUUCAGCACGUCUGGUUCCAUCAUUCCUCAUCAUUGGUCAUCAGGUUUAAUUAUAUUUAUUUAUUUUCGAUUUUCUUUGGUUUUGUUUUAUAUCAAUAUUGUUUCAAAUUCACAUUACUAUUCAUCUGGUUCGUUUUCUAUAACUUCCCAUCAUUAUUUACCUGACGUGUUCCUCUUACCGCAUAUUGUUGCUUAUUAUUCAUUCUGUAAUUUCAUAUUGUUAUUUCCCCUGUUUCUUUAAAUUCGCCUUGUUAUUUCUUUCGUUUCCGUUAUUUCACAGCGUUAUUGAUCUGCUUCGCUUCAUUCCUUUCUCAGCUUUAUUUUUGUAACUUCCCAUCGUUAUUUCCCCAUCAAAUCUGAGCUCAGUGUUACCAAUCCUAGUUGAGCUGCGGUCCGUUAACAGAAAGACGGGCCGUGACGUGAUUAUGAGUGGCAAAAAUGUAUCAGGCGGUAAUCUGGUGAGGCAGUAACAGUGGGGAAUAUGUUGAUGUGGUGGCAACAACGAGAUGGACGGCAGUGUGGUGAUGGUAACAGUGGGAUGAGCAGCAAUAUGGUGUCGCGGUAACAGUGGGGUAAAUGAUGGUGUGGUGGUGUGUGUGUGGUGGUAAUAGUGGUGGUGUGGUGAUGUGGUGCAGUGGGAUGAGUGGUGUGGUGGUGGUGGUGG